CUCAAUGAAAUUCAAUAGCCGCAAUGUCCUUGUGCUAAGGUAGCAUAAUCAUUUGUUUUUUAAUUAAAAACCAGAACGAAAGAUUCAACAUUUUUAUUUCUAUUACAUAUAUAAACAUUCAAUUUAUUUUAAAUAUAAAAAAAUAUUUAUUUAUCAAAAAGACAAUAAGACCCUAUUAAACUUUACUGAAGUUUAACUGGGGUAGUUAAUUAAAUAUCAUUUUAAUUUAAAUUUUAAAAAAACCUAAUAAAAUUAAAUUUAUCAAGUUACUAUAGGGAUAACAGCGCAAUAAAUUUCUCAAGUCCUUAUCCAAAAAUCUAUUUGCGACCUCGAUGUUGAAUUAAUAAUCUAUUAAAUGCAAUAAUUUAAUAAUGAAAGUCUGUUCGACUU
rnacentral:rRNA from 1 species